UACAGAGGUGGCAAGCGUUGUUCGGAAUUACUGGGCGUAAAGGGCGCGUAGGCGGUUCGAUAAGUCCCGUGUGAAAUCCCUCGGCUCAACUGAGGAACUGCACGGGAAACUGACGGGCUUGAGUUCGGGAGAGGGAAGCGGAAUUCCGGGUGUAGCGGUGAAAUGCGUAGAUAUCCGGAGGAACACCGGUGGCGAAGGCGGCUCGCUGGGACGGUACUGACGCUGAGGCGCGAAAGCGUGGGGAGCAAACAGG
rnacentral:rRNA from 1 species